GAAUUUCAGAUCAAAAAAUCGAUUUGCUAGAAUAUCUCUUGCCCACAUUCGGAUAUGAGGGAUUAAUUGGAAUCAUUCACCCGCCAGAUAUUGAGUUGUUGGGAGUCUUGAAUGAAAACGAGUUAGCUUCAGAAUAUCAAAAAAUAUACGACAGAGAAAUGACAAUUCGAGCGGAAUUAAUAAGAAUCUCUAGUAACUAAGUUUCAUUAUUCUAGCAAAAUAUA